AGAGUUUGAUCCUGGCUCAGAUUGAACGCUGGCGGCAUGGCUAAAACAUGCAAGUCGAACGUACCUCUUCGGAGGGAAGUGGCGAAAGGGCGAGUAACGCGAUCGAAUGUACCCCGAGGCGGGGGAUAGGUCAGGGAAACUUGGCAUAAUACCCCAUACGCUCUACGGAGGAAAGGUUUACCACCUUGGGAGCAGCGAUCGUCCUAUCAGGUAGUUGGUGAGGUAAUGGCUCACCAAGCCGAAGACGGGUAGCGGGUGUGAGAGCAUGACCCGCCGCAUCGGGACUGAGAUACUGCCCGGACUCCUACGGGAGGCUGCAGUAACGAAUCUUCCGCAAUGGGCGAAAGCCUGACGGAGCAAUGCCGCGUGUGGGAUGAAGCAGUUACGCUGUGUAAACCACUGUCAGGGAGCAGAAACAAUGAUCACUCCCAAAGGAAGGGCCGGCUAAUUCCGUGCCAGCAGCCGCGGUAAUACGGAAGGCCCGAGCGUUAAUCGGAAUCACUGGGCUUAAAGGGUUCGCAGGCGGGCUUGUAGGCAUCUUGUGAAAUCCCCCGGCUUAACCGGGGAAUAGCAGGGUGAACCACAAGUCUUGAGGCAUGUAGGGGUCAGUGGAACCAUGGGUGGAGCGGUGAAAUGCGUAGAUAUCCAUGGGAACGCCAAUGGCGA
rnacentral:rRNA from 1 species